rnacentral:rRNA from 1 species
UACAGAGGUCUCAAGCGUUGUUCGGAUUCAUUGGGCGUAAAGGGUGCGUAGGUGGCGCCGUAAGUCAGGUGUGAAAUUUCGGAGCUUAACUCCGAAACUGCAUUUGAUACUGCGGUGCUUGAGGACUGGAGAGGAGACUGGAAUUCACGGUGUAGCAGUGAAAUGCGUAGAUAUCGUGAGGAAGACCAGUGGCGAAGGCGGGUCUCUGGGCCGAUACUGACGCUGAGGAGCGAAAGCGUGGGGAGCGAACAGG